rnacentral:ncRNA from 1 species
AUGCAAGUUGGAUGGGAAGUGGUGUUUCCAGUGGUGGACGUGUGAGUAACGCGCAAGAACCUGCCCUUGGGAGGGGAACAACAAUUGGAAAUGGCUGCUAAUACCCCAUAGGCUGAGGAGCAAAAGGAGGAAUCCGCCCAAGGAGGGGCUUGCAUGUGAUUAGUUAGUUGGUGAGGUAAUGGCUUACCAAUUGCAAAUUGAUAUACAUGAAAAAAUAUAAUGGAAAUGGUUCACUAGACAAACAUAAGUCGAGGCUGGUUGCA